rnacentral:rRNA from 1 species
UACAGAGGUCCCGAGCGUUGUUCGGAUUCAUUGGGCGUAAAGGGUGCGUAGGCGGUCCACUAAGUUUGAUGUGAAAUCCCGGGGCUCAACCCUGGAAUUGCCUUUGAUACUGGCUAUCUUGAGUACGGAAGAGGUAUGUGGAACUCCGAGUGUAGAGGUGAAAUUCGUAGAUAUUCGGAAGAACACCAGUGGCGAAGGCGACAUACUGGUCCGUUACUGACGCUGAGGCUCGAAAGCGUGGGGAGCAAACAGG